rnacentral:rRNA from 1 species
UUAAGCGACUAAGCGUACACGGUGGAUGCCCUGGCAGUCAGAGGCGAUGAAGGACGUGCUAAUCUGCGAUAAGCGUCGGUAAGGUGAUAUGAACCGUUAUAACCGGCGAUUUCCGAAUGGGGAAACCCAGUGUGUUUCGACACACUAUCAUUAACUGAAUCCAUAGGUUAAUGAGGCGAACCGGGGGAACUGAAACAUCUAAGUACCCCGAGGAAAAGAAAUCAACCGAGAUUCCCCCAGUAGCGGCGAGCGAACGGGGAGCAGCCCAGAGCCUGAAUCAGUGUGUGUGUUAGUGGAAGCGUCUGGAAAGGCGCGCGAUACAGGGUGACAGCCCCGUACACAAAAAUGCACAUGCUGUGAGCUCGAUGAGUAGGGCGGGACACGUGGUAUCCUGUCUGAAUAUGGGGGGACCAUCCUCCAAGGCUAAAUACUCCUGACUGACCGAUAGUGAACCAGUACCGUGAGGGAAAGGCGAAAAGAACCCCGGCGAGGGGAGUGAAAAAGAACCUGAAACCGUGUACGUACAAGCAGUGGGAGCACGCUUAGGCGUGUGACUGCGUACCUUUUGUAUAAUGGGUCAGCGACUUAUAUUCUGUAGCAAGGUUAACCGAAUAGGGGAGCCGAAGGGAAACCGAGUCUUAACUGGGCGUUAAGUUGCAGGGUAUAGACCCGAAACCCGGUGAUCUAGCCAUGGGCAGGUUGAAGGUUGGGUAACACUAACUGGAGGACCGAACCGACUAAUGUUGAAAAAUUAGCGGAUGACUUGUGGCUGGGGGUGAAAGGCCAAUCAAACCGGGAGAUAGCUGGUUCUCCCCGAAAGCUAUUUAGGUAGCGCCUCGUGAAUUCAUCUCCGGGGGUAGAGCACUGUUUCGGCAAGGGGGUCAUCCCGACUUACCAACCCGAUGCAAACUGCGAAUACCGGAGAAUGUUAUCACGGGAGACACACGGCGGGUGCUAACGUCCGUCGUGAAGAGGGAAACAACCCAGACCGCCAGCUAAGGUCCCAAAGUCAUGGUUAAGUGGGAAACGAUGUGGGAAGGCCCAGACAGCCAGGAUGUUGGCUUAGAAGCAGCCAUCAUUUAAAGAAAGCGUAAUAGCUCACUGGUCGAGUCGGCCUGCGCGGAAGAUGUAACGGGGCUAAACCAUGCACCGAAGCUGCGGCAGCGACGCUUAUGCGUUGUUGGGUAGGGGAGCGUUCUGUAAGCCUGCGAAGGUGUGCUGUGAGGCAUGCUGGAGGUAUCAGAAGUGCGAAUGCUGACAUAAGUAACGAUAAAGCGGGUGAAAAGCCCGCUCGCCGGAAGACCAAGGGUUCCUGUCCAACGUUAAUCGGGGCAGGGUGAGUCGACCCCUAAGGCGAGGCCGAAAGGCGUAGUCGAUGGGAAACAGGUUAAUAUUCCUGUACUUGGUGUUACUGCGAAGGGGGGACGGAGAAGGCUAUGUUGGCCGGGCGACGGUUGUCCCGGUUUAAGCGUGUAGGCUGGUUUUCCAGGCAAAUCCGGAAAAUCAAGGCUGAGGCGUGAUGACGAGGCACUACGGUGCUGAAGCAACAAAUGCCCUGCUUCCAGGAAAAGCCUCUAAGCAUCAGGUAACAUCAAAUCGUACCCCAAACCGACACAGGUGGUCAGGUAGAGAAUACCAAGGCGCUUGAGAGAACUCGGGUGAAGGAACUAGGCAAAAUGGUGCCGUAACUUCGGGAGAAGGCACGCUGAUAUGUAGGUGAAGUCCCUCGCGGAUGGAGCUGAAAUCAGUCGAAGAUACCAGCUGGCUGCAACUGUUUAUUAAAAACACAGCACUGUGCAAACACGAAAGUGGACGUAUACGGUGUGACGCCUGCCCGGUGCCGGAAGGUUAAUUGAUGGGGUCAGCGCAAGCGAAGCUCUUGAUCGAAGCCCCGGUAAACGGCGGCCGUAACUAUAACGGUCCUAAGGUAGCGAAAUUCCUUGUCGGGUAAGUUCCGACCUGCACGAAUGGCGUAAUGAUGGCCAGGCUGUCUCCACCCGAGACUCAGUGAAAUUGAACUCGCUGUGAAGAUGCAGUGUACCCGCGGCAAGACGGAAAGACCCCGUGAACCUUUACUAUAGCUUGACACUGAACAUUGAGCCUUGAUGUGUAGGAUAGGUGGGAGGCUUUGAAGUGUGGACGCCAGUCUGCAUGGAGCCGACCUUGAAAUACCACCCUUUAAUGUUUGAUGUUCUAACGUUGACCCGUGAUCCGGGUUGCGGACAGUGUCUGGUGGGUAGUUUGACUGGGGCGGUCUCCUCCUAAAGAGUAACGGAGGAGCACGAAGGUUGGCUAAUCCUGGUCGGACAUCAGGAGGUUAGUGCAAUGGCAUAAGCCAGCUUGACUGCGAGCGUGACGGCGCGAGCAGGUGCGAAAGCAGGUCAUAGUGAUCCGGUGGUUCUGAAUGGAAGGGCCAUCGCUCAACGGAUAAAAGGUACUCCGGGGAUAACAGGCUGAUACCGCCCAAGAGUUCAUAUCGACGGCGGUGUUUGGCACCUCGAUGUCGGCUCAUCACAUCCUGGGGCUGAAGUAGGUCCCAAGGGUAUGGCUGUUCGCCAUUUAAAGUGGUACGCGAGCUGGGUUUAGAACGUCGUGAGACAGUUCGGUCCCUAUCUGCCGUGGGCGCUGGAGAAUUGAGGGGGGCUGCUCCUAGUACGAGAGGACCGGAGUGGACGCAUCACUGGUGUUCGGGUUGUCAUGCCAAUGGCACUGCCCGGUAGCUAAAUGCGGAAGAGAUAAGUGCUGAAAGCAUCUAAGCACGAAACUUGCCCCGAGAUGAGUUCUCCCUGACUCCUUGAGAGUCCUGAAGGAACGUUGAAGACGACGACGUUGAUAGGCCGGGUGUGUAAGCGCAGCGAUGCGUUGAGCUAACCGGUACUAAUGAACCGUGAGGCUUAACCUU